GAUGAGGCGUUAGGGUUAGGCCAUCGUAGAGCGAAAGCUUUGCAUGAAAGCAUUAGUACAUCACUUGUUAUUUGUUCAAUGUUUUAAAGGAAAUUUAGCUUUUUUUCUGAUUGUAUAAAAAAAUACAAUCAAAAUACCACGGAGUAGUAUAACUGCAAGUGUAAUCAUUUAUUGUGUGUGUGGUUGAGUGUUAAAUUAUUGGUGUAAUGCAUAGACGUAAAAUUUCCGCCGGGCUUCGGCGGUUUUCGCCGUGUUUCGCCCAGCUGUAAUGUUUCGGCCGUAAAAGACAUAAAGACAUAUGAGGUUUGACAGCCGGUAGGCUUGCUUCGGUUUGUUACAUUUAUUUUCUUUAAAAAUGAACAGUCGCAAUAGUGUGAAUAAAAAUAAUUUGAUGAAUUUUUCGACUGGAUUGACGACACUUAAUCAGUUGGACCCUAAGGAUGAUCUCGUGAGGUUUCCUUUUGACCAUAUUUACGCGUGCCAUUCGGAUCCUGGACGAAGAACUGUUCUUCCUCUUGAUAAGCAAGUGGAACAAGCAUCACGAUUGGUAGUAGCAGAAAAAGAAGACAAAUAUUUUAACUUGAAUAAAAUCCAUGAGCACCUGAACGCCUUAGAACUAAAAAAUAAGCGUUUGAAAGAUUUACUAAUUUACCAUUUAGAGUUAGUACAACAACAAAACGAGGCGAUCACAAAGAAAGACAAAUUAUAUCAAGUACUGAAAUUAGAGAAUAAUGCGCUCAAGGCAAAAUUAGUUGGUACUUUUGGAUUAAGUAUUGCUUGUGAUCCACACGAAAUGACAUACCACCCACCUGAACCCACAUCCACUGUCACGUCUGAAACAAUAAGCCAGAAAUCUCCACAGAUUGUCGAUUUCUAUCCAGCUGUCACGAGCCACAGGUCGCCGGAAAGAAAAAAUGACCUAAAAGAAAUUUUUGAGCGAGCACGAAUCUCUGCACAAGCACUCAUUGAAAAACAUAAUAGAGAAAUAGCCGCAGGAGCAAACUACGCACAUCUAAAAACGUGUGCCGGCCAAAUGAUUGAAAACAAACGUUCCGUGAUGAAGAAGGCGAACUGUAAGGAGCCACAGAGCCAGGCUAAGCCGCGACAAGCCAUGAAUAGGAAAGCGUCUCCUAAGACCAAUCCUAUGGUUCAAAGAAAGAAGCGGAAAAGUACUAGCAAAUCGACCAGGUGCCGCUCAAAGCAGCAAAUUGAAACGCCGCAAGCUGUUGCGGUUGGGAAAAGCUACCAGAGUCCUGUAUUUAAAAAAGCCUUCAAGUACAAAUCGACAGGAUCUCUUGCUCACUGCUUACGACUAAUCGAUACUAUCCCGACAGGAGAAGACCCAUAUCAAUUAGGGGAAGCCGAAUUUCAAGAAGUCCAAGAGAAUCCAAUUCUGAAACGCAAGACGGCGUCCCAUUUAUUUGUGAACAAAAAGAGAAAGAGUGCCCUCGAGGAUAUAGUGUCUGAUAGUGAGGAGUGUGAAGUUGAUAUAUUAAACGUAACGCCGGACAUGGAAUCUAAAGAAAACCUGGGCUACCCGAUUGACCCGACGGAACCAGUGUUGGAACAAUCGCUCAGUAUAGAAGAACUUCAUGACUCACUUAGCCAGGCGACACGACACAUGCAGACCGAAGAGCAACCGAGCACGUCUCGUGGAAAAAAGCGGGCUCUUUCCACCACUGGUAUCAGCAAAGAAACUAAAAAGCCACGUGCUAAAAGAGUGAAGAGGUCGCCUCCCCCCGGCUUUUCAGUACAUGAACCGUUCCACACUCUAAUCGGAGACCCAGAAUGUGAUUGGUGCGUCACUCUAGCGACUGGAGUUAAUAGCGAACUAUUCGACCCUGAUCUAGCCUUAUUAAACAAUGUCGAGGUACCGCAAUGGCGCGAAAAUAAAUACGAGCCCGACACCCAUUGUGUUUGUGCUGAAUUUGUAAAUGAUAAGACGUAUGAGAAACGUCACAAUAAACACGAAACAGAGGAAAGGCGCCAGUUGAGGGAAGGACACGUCGACGGUAAACCCUGUUGCUUAAAAAUAAUAGAAGACCUGCAUCUGUAAUCUCAUACGCCUUUUAUAUUCUAAGGUGAACUCAAAGUUAGAAAUUUUUAUAAAGGGGUUGCUGACGUCACUCAGUUUUUCACAACGUUAUGUCAACUAUGUAUAUAAUAUUAAAAAAUAAAGUUUACUUAUUUGCGUCUUCACGUCUUUACGAGUUCUUUGAAAUAAGGAAAGUACUCGUAGGCUAAACGGCGUAAGCAGUGACAAUAGUAAAUUAUUCGGGCACAAAUAACAGGCGUACAAAAUUUUAUUGUUUUAUUUAGUCGUGUAAAAACCAGAAAAUUCUUCAGAAAAAGCUCCGUGAAGAGAUAAAAUAAGUGAAUUAUUAAAAUGUUUUUUUUACGUGUAUUGAAACAUAAACAUAUUUGUUAUGAUAAAUAAAUUUAAUUUAAUUUUACGUUAGAAGUCGCUUCGUGGCUUUUUAUAAAGAAGGUUAUUUAUUAUUUUGUGGUUUUUCUAUCUUCUUUCGUAAGACUUGUGCUAUUUCAUAAUUUUCGUUCAAUACUCAACAUUUCUAAUUCUUACUAAAUAACAAAAAAUAAUUGCUUUCCCUUUUUUUAUGUUCUUUUAAAUUUUGCAUUGCUUUGCUAUAACUACGAUAGAUCUACCAUUAUUUACAAAUAAAAAUAAAAAUGGAGACGUGAUUUGCGGUCUUAUAUUGUGUCAGCAAUAACCCUUUGUUUAAACAUUACAUCUUGUGAUUCACCUUAGAGUAUAGUUGACAUCCAAAGGCCCACAGAAAUUUCAUGUUGCCAUGGGUUCGCACUUCGAAAGCGUUAAAACGCGCUAAACGUUCCAAAACGUUACAUUAAUGUAAGAACGGUAUAAACGUCAAAUAUGCAUUUAUAUGAGCACUUUAGUGUAGCGUGACUGGGUUUGUCUUCCUCUAGUCUAUGCAUCACAUUUCGAUUUUGCCUUAAGUAUACAUAUAUACGAAUCGCCUCUAUACGAUUGUAUUGCUAUAUUUAGCAUUCUUUGACAGUGUCGACGACUGUCUAAUUGUUAUCGCUUGGGGAUAAUUUUAAAAUGAUAUGUUUUUUGAUCGACUGUUGAAAAGUAGCUAGCCUAAUUAUAUAUACAGUACUUGUGUUCUAUUUAGAUUAUUUAAGCAUCAUAUUCAUUGAUGUUAGGGCUUCAAAAUUGUCAAAGUAGUGAUUAGCGUAUUUUGCUCCCCAUUCUAUGUAAAACAUAUAGCUCUCUGAUAUUACUUUAAGGUACGUUUAAGUGUACUUUUAUGGUCCGUACCUGUGGAUGGAUCUGCGCAAAAAACUUUAAUAAUAAUAUAUAUAUUUGGAUUAAACAUAUAAUGAUAUAUUCUUAUUAAAGUAUCAUGUCCAUUUUUAUAGUAUUCCAUAAAAAUUUAUGCAAUGGAUGAAAUGGUGCAAUUUAAAAAAAAACAUUGCGUUUUAUGAAAUUAAUUAAAAUUAAAGCAAUUUUUAUGCUUUAUUUUAAGUUCUUGUUUGGCCACUGUUAUAGAAUACCAAAAAGGCUUGUCCCAAUUCCGCAGAGUUAACCCGUUAAGACCUACUCUUCCAAGUAGAACUUCAUUAUAAAAUCACUUGUAAAAUAAACGAUUUUUAAUCAUUUAAGUAUUUUGUAUACAUUUCCAUAAUAGACUUCUCGAUGUUAAUAGUAAAUCAAUAGCAAGUUUCUGGUGUUAGACCAAUAUACGCUUAAAUAAUCGUAAAUUAGAAGUAAUAUUUUAAUUAAUUAAACAUAAAAUCAUUGUAAAUAUGUGAAGGCCAUCUCCGCUGUGAAUUUUAAUCAUGUUCUCACUUUCCCGUCUUCUUAUCAAUAUGGGAAUGUUCAUUCCUUUUUUUACUCUUUAGCCGAUACUUAGGUGAUAACUAAAUACGAGCACUUUGAAUAGUGUUCAUCGCCGCCCAUAGACAUCUGCAUCCCCGAGGGGAUCACGAGUGUGUUGCUGGCCUUUGAGGGAAUAUCUCUAGUGGCAGCUGAUUCCACCAUGAGGCAGUGCGCGGCGGAAUGUGUUAAAAACCGCUCUGUCGUGGAACGAGGUGAUUAGGACGGACUUUAGUUGUGAAAACCUAAGAAUGGUAUUGUUUUGUAAGUAAUUAGUAUAUAUUUAUUCAGUAUUACUUAGACUGACCUAAUAUUCUCUCGAAAUAGAUUAUUGUUACGUGAAAUAGGUUCUAUAUAGCGAAACAACUGCAAAAUAAACUUGGUUUACACAUUUUUGAACGAAUUUCGCUAUUGAGAAUAAGUACGUUAAUGCCGGAGAAUAUUUUUUCAAUUGAAAGUGUGCCUGGAGCUCUCACCAAAGUUGAGAACCAUAUCAUCCUUGUACCUAAGCCAAAAAUGUUUUAUCCGCAAAGUCUGUGGCGAAUACGAUUUUAAAGUGUUUUUUAUUCUGGCGGUAUUAAUAAUAAGUGUUUACCAUCACCAAGUAGUUGUUGAAUAAGAUUUGUUGUUUAUUAAUAAUAUUAAAAUGUCUCGCGACAUGUUACUUGUGUAUAACAGUUUGUGUCUAAUACUCGAAAAUACAAAACUAAACAAAGGCCGCUACGAGCUAUCGUUGUAUACUCGCUUGGCUGGCUUUUGUAUAUUCGAGCAUUUUCAAGAUCUCAUAAAUUAAUAUUGAAACAUAAAUUAAUAAUGAAUUUCACACGUUUGUCCUGUGUUGUAUAUAUAGACUUUAAAAGUACCUUAUGGUCCCUGUUUCUUACGAUUUCAAAAAUCCUAUUUUCAUUCUCAAAUACAUUUUUUUCGACUAACAAUAUUAUUAUUUUUCUUCACCCCUGUUCGGAAUUUUUAAUAAAUUUCAGAUUUCGUUAGAAUUGUCGACUUAAUUAAAGUUUAAUAAUUUUGUCUCAAUAAACAUUUAUAUGUUGCAUUUCUAUAUCUUCCAAUACAUUUCACAUAGUAGGGUUAUAAUCCAUAAUUCAAGUGUUUAAUUAGCUGUAAGAGUAGAACUUUAAGUACGCGUUUUAGAUAAUCAUUUCAACGCCAAGUAGUCGACUUUUCUACUCGAGAAUUUUGAAGUUUUGCCAAAAAAUGUUUUAAUUCUCUAAGCCCAAAUGGUAACAAAAGGAAUAAAAUCUGCAUAAUAUCACUUUUAAAAAUUAUUAUUUGUUAUUAAUGUUUAUAACUAAUUAUCAUAUCUGAAAAUGAUAUUUGCAGAUCCGUCAUUCUUUUUGGUAACAUAAAACAACCAACAGAAAAAUAAUAUUAAGGAAUGUUUUUUUUUUCAUAAUGUUUAUAUGAAUGUGAUACAAGUCUUGAGUAUGGUCUAGAUUGUCUACUGAAUAAUAAAAUCAUUUGAAUCAAAA